rnacentral:rRNA from 1 species
UACGUAGGGUGCGAGCGUUGUCCGGAAUUAUUGGGCGUAAAGGGCUCGUAGGCGGUUUGUCGCGUCGGGAGUGAAAUCAUCUGGCUUAACUGGGUGCUUGCUUUCGAUACGGGCAGACUAGAGGUAUGCAGGGGAGAACGGAAUUCCUGGUGUAGCGGUGAAAUGCGCAGAUAUCAGGAGGAACACCUAUGGCGAAAGCAGCUCUCUGGGACGGUACUGACGCUGAGACGCGAAAGCGUGGGGAGCGAACAGG